rnacentral:rRNA from 1 species
ACUCAAAUGAAUUGACGGGGGCCCGCACAAGCAGUGGAGUAUGUGGUUUAAUUCGAAGCAACGCGAAGAACCUUACCAGGAUUUGACAUCCUACUAACGAAGCAGAGAUGCAUAAGGUGCCCUUCGGGGAAAGUAGAGACAGGUGGUGCAUGGUUGUCGUCAGCUCGUGUCGUGAGAUGUUGGGUUAAGUCCCGCAACGAGCGCAACCCUUAUGGUUAGUUGCUACGCAAGAGCACUCUAGCCAGACUGCCGUUGACAAAACGGAGGAAGGUGGGGACGACGUCAAAUCAUCAUGCCCCUUAUGUCCUGGGCUACACACGUACUACAAUGGUGGUCAUACAAAGCGAAGCAAUACAGCGAUGUGGAGCAAAUCGCAAAAAGCCACCUCAGUUCGGAUCGCAGGCUGCAACCCGCCUGCGUGAAGUCGGAAUUGCUAGUAAUCGCGGAUCAGAAUGCCGCGGUGAAUACGUUCCCGGGCCUUGUACACACCGCCCGU